AGAGUUCGAUUAUGGCUCAGGACGAACGCUGGCGGUGCGCCUUAUGCAUGCAAGUUGAGCGAAGCUUUUUUGUAGUUUACUACGAAAAAUGACUGAGCGGCGAACGGGUGAGUAACGCGUGAGCAAUCUACCUUAGUUACUGGGAUAGCCCGAGGAAACUCGGAUUAAUACCGGAUAUUCUUAUUUUUUCACAUGAAGUUUUAAGGAAAGGUCAGCCGAACUAAGAUGAGCUCGCGUUCUAUCAGCUAGUUGGUGGGGUAAAAGCCUACCAAGGCUACGACGGAUAGCUGGUCUGAGAGGACGAUCAGCCACACUGGGACUGAGACACGGCCCAGACUCCUACGGGAGGCUGCAGCAGGGAAUAUUGUGCAAUGAGCGGAAGCUUGACACAGCGACACCGCGUGUGGGAUGACGGUUCUAGGAUUGUAAACCACUUUCAGGAGGGAAGAAAAUGACGGUACCUCCACAAGAAGACCCGGCCAACUAUGUGCCAGCCGCCGCGGUGAUAC
rnacentral:rRNA from 1 species